GAUGAACGCUGGCGGCGUGCCUAAUACAUGCAAGUCGAGCGAACAGACGAGGAGCUUGCUCCUCUGACGUUAGCGGCGGACGGGUGAGUAACACGUGGAUAACCUACCUAUAAGACUGGGAUAACUUCGGGAAACCGGAGCUAAUACCGGAUAAUAUAUUGAACCGCAUGGUUCAAUAGUGAAAGACGGUUUUGCUGUCACUUAUAGAUGGAUCCGCGCCGCAUUAGCUAGUUGGUAAGGUAACGGCUUACCAAGGCAACGAUGCGUAGCCGACCUGAGAGGGUGAUCGGCCACACUGGAACUGAGACACGGCCCAGACUCCUACGGGAGGCAGCAGUAGGGAAUCUUCCGCAAGGGGCGAAAGCUGGACGGAGCAACGCCGCGUGGGUGAUGAAGGUCUUCGGAUCUUAAAACUCUGUUAUUAGGGAAGAACAAAUGUGUAAGUAACUAUGCACGUCUUGACGGUACCUAAUCAGAAAGCCACGGCUAACUACGUG
rnacentral:rRNA from 1 species